rnacentral:rRNA from 1 species
CCCUAUUAUUUUAGAGCGUUAAUUUUGUUUGUCUGAGUAGUAUUAGUUAUGUUCUUGAAACUUAAAGAAUUUGGCGGUAUCUUAUUCCAUCCAGAGGAAUCUGUCUCGUUAUCGAUAGUCCGCGUUGGACCUUACUUAGUUGUUGAUGGUUUGUAUACCGCCGUUUAUUGAUUAUCUUUUUAGAGUUUAUUAAUUUUCUAGUUUCUUUAUUUUGAUUUAUUUCAGGUCAAGGUGCAGCUUGUUUCUAAGUGGAUGAUGGAUUACAUUGUUAUUUGUUUUAUUGGAUUGUUGGUUUUAAAUAUUGAUAUGAAAUUGGAUUUGGUUGUAAUGUUUCGUAGAUUGUUUUCGUGAUAAUUGGUUCUGGGAUAUGUACACAUCGCCCGUCGCUCUCGUUUGUUUAAUGAGAUAAGUC